CAGCCCUAAACGAUGCGCGUUAGGUGUAUCGGUGACCACGAGUCACCGAGGUGCCGAAGGGAAACCGUGAAACGUGCCGCCUGGGAAGUACGGUCGCAAGGCUGAAACUUGAAGGAAUUGGCGGGGGAGCACCACAACGGGUGGAGCCUGCGGUCUAAUUGGACUCAACGCCGGGAAGCUCACCGGAUAAGACAGCGGAAUGAUUGCCGGGCUGAAGACCCUGCAUGACCAGCUGAGAGGAGGUGCAUGGCGUAGACGUCU
rnacentral:rRNA from 1 species